GCGCCUGCGGAGGAUCCGGCACAGUCCAUACCGCGUCCGGGCGGCCUGCCCGUCCGGACGCGGCCCGUGCUUCGCAGGCAGUCGGGCUGUGUACGAUCCGGUAGAUGCCCGGUAAUUUACCGGGCAUUUAAUGCUUC
rnacentral:sRNA from 1 species